AGAAAAGCCACUUUCUCUCAAAGAGCUCACAGGGAAGGUUAGUGUUUCAUCACUCAGAGAGCUCACCAGGAGAGGUUGCUCUUUGUUUCACUCAAAGAGAUUCGAAAAAGGUAAUGAAGAAGACAUCUGGAAAGCGUCGAAAGCAUACAAAUAAGAGGAAACAACAUGGUUCUCAAUCAGCUUCAUUUUCCCCCACCUUUCCUCCUCAACCCACUUCACUGGCAUCUGUCGCUCCUACUCAACAGGCUUCACUGCCACCGACUAAGUGUUCUCUGUCGACUUCAUUAUCCCCUGGAUUUCCUCCUCUGUCCACUUCACUGCCACCUUCUUUUUUUGGUAUACCACCACAUGGGCCAAUACAAAAUAACUCUACAGCUUCUCAUGGCAAGAAUACAAGCCUUCCUGAUAAUAUUGUUCCCGCACCUCGUAUAAAUUCUUCUUCGAGUGGUCAUAUAAGUCGAAAUGGUAGCUCUUCUUCUCUGCUUCAAUCGUCAACUCAAGCUGUAUCUCCAGCAUCAUCGACACCUAGAAUGUCGAGGUCAAAUAUUGGAGUCCCUGUAAUAUUACUGCACCUGCAUGUUCAAACACCAAAAAUGCUGGAGAAAUUAGAGAAUAUGAUGAUUUUUAUAGGCUAAUUAUCACCCUGAUGAGGAUGGGUUUGUGCCAUCAUAUCGUGCCUCGCGUAUGGUUGCGGAAUCUAUUACACCAUUCUUCGAUGAUGUUUGGGGUAGAUGAAAGAAUUUCCGUACAAUAUCAGGGAGCAAAUAUGGAAUCAAUUUAAGAUGAAGUGUGUAUAGCAGCUACGUUAUGAGAUCAAAAUAAAUGUUAUUUUUGAGAGGAAUGCUCAUAUUCGAGUUACUGAAAUGUUGUUUGAAGCUCGAAAAAGUAAUGAGAAGCCUGGUUGGCUACGAGAUGAAAUAUGGGUUAAAUUUUUUG